GAAUUCGGUCCGUAUCGUGUGCCUAUCUUCUCCUCGCCACCUCGUGGCGCUGGGGGAACCCCAAAGUAUCUCCCGUGUUCCGUGCUGUCCUCUCACGUUGCCGUGUCGGUGGCAUUGCCCGCGGGCAGUUAUGCUCGUGCUCUCGGAUUCGGAGCCUUGUGCGGGUACACGGGGUCUUCGACCUCCGUUUUCCCGCCAAGCGUUCGUCGCUCGUUGCGGGCUACGGCCGCGCCUGCGUCUGACCGUACCGGCUCUGUCGGUCGGGCUUAUGCAGCGCCGGCGUCGGAAAAAAGGAAUGCUACCUGGUUGAUC
rnacentral:misc_RNA from 1 species